GACGAACGCUGGCGGCGUGCCUAAUACAUGCAAGUAGAACGCUGAAGGAGGAGCUUGCUUCUCUGGAUGAGUUGCGAACGGGUGAGUAACGCGUAGGUAACCUGCCUGGUAGCGGGGGAUAACUAUUGGAAACGAUAGCUAAUACCGCAUAAUAGUAGAUGUUGCAUGACAUUUGCUUAAAAGGUGCAAUUGCAUCACUACCAGAUGGACCUGCGUUGUAUUAGCUAGUUGGUGGGGUAACGGAUCACCAAGGCGACGAUACAUAGCCGACCGGAGAGGGUGAUCAGCCACACUGGGACUGAGACACGGCCCAGACGCCUACGGGAGGCAGCAGUAGGGAAUCUUCGGCAAUGGACGGAAGUCUGACCGAGCAACGCCGCGUGAGUGAAGAAGGUUUUCGGAUCGGAAAGCUCUGUUGUAAGAGAAGAACGAGUGUGAGAGUGGAAAGUUCACACUGUGACGGUAUCUUACCAGAAAGGGACGGCUAACUACGUG
rnacentral:rRNA from 1 species